rnacentral:tRNA from 1 species
UGCCCAAUAGCUCAGUUGGUAGAGCAGGUGACUGUUAAUCACCUUGUCCCAAGUUCAAGUCUUGGUUGGGCAG